CAUGCAAGUCGAGCGGUAACAUUUCUAGCUUGCUAGAAGAUGACGAGCGGCGGACGGGUGAGUAAUGCUUGGGAAUAUGCCUUAGGGUGGGGGACAACAGUUGGAAACGACUGCUAAUACCGCAUAACGUCUACGGACCAAAGGGGGCUUCGGCUCUCGCCCUUAGAUUAGCCCAAGUGGGAUUAGCUAGUUGGUGAGGUAAUGGCUCACCAAGGCGACGAUCCCUAGCUGGUUUGAGAGGAUGAUCAGCCACACUGGAACUGAGACACGGUCCAGACUCCUACGGGAGGCAGCAGUGGGGAAUAUUGCACAAUGGGCGCAAGCCUGAUGCAGCCAUGCCGCGUGUGUGAAGAAGGCCUUAGGGUUGUAAAGCACUUUCAGUUGUGAGGAAAGGUUAGUAGUUAAUACCUGCUAGCUGUGACGUUACUUACAGAAGAAGCACCGGCUAACUCCGUGCCAGCAGCCGCGGUAAUACGGAGGGUGCGAGCGUUAAUCGGAAUUACUGGGCGUAAAGCGUACGCAGGCGGUUUGUUAAGCGAGAUGUGAAAGCCCCGGGCUCAACCUGGGAACUGCAUUUGGAACUGGCAAACUAGAGUAUGA
rnacentral:rRNA from 1 species